GAAAUGCGAUACGCAAUGCGAAUUGCAGAAUUCCGCGAGUCAUCAGAUCUUUGAACGCAACUGGCGCCAGAGGGAUAUCCUUCUGGCAUGCUUGUUUCAGUGUCUAGAAAUCUCAUAUAUCUUAAUGUGAUUGACUUCUUUUGCAAAAGAGAAAUCUCUCAUGAAAUAUGAAAAUGUGGAUCUUUCGGUCCAAUGAAGUAGUCACAUUCUAAAUGUGAUUUCAUUGGUAAUACUGAAUUAUUCGUAAACAUUUUUUUUAAGACAAUAAAAUCUUCAAUAUGCAUCUGAAAUCAAGCAAGGUCACCUGCUGAACUUAA
rnacentral:misc_RNA from 1 species